rnacentral:rRNA from 1 species
AGUGAACGCUGGCGGUAGGCCUAACACAUGCAAGUCGAACGGCAGCACAGUAAGAGCUUGCUCUUACGGGUGGCGAGUGGCGGACGGGUGAGGAAUACAUCGGAAUCUACUUUUUCGUGGGGGAUAACGUAGGGAAACUUACGCUAAUACCGCAUACGACCUACGGGUGAAAGCAGGGGAUCUUCGGACCUUGCGCGAUUGAAUGAGCCGAUGUCGGAUUAGCUAGUUGGCGGGGUAAAGGCCCACCAAGGCGACGAUCCGUAGCUGGUCUGAGAGGAUGAUCAGCCACACUGGAACUGAGACACGGUCAAGACUCCUACGGGAGGCAGCAGUGGGGAAUAUUGGACAAUGGGCGCAAGCCUGAUCCAGCCAUACCGCGUGGGUGAAGAAGGCCUUCGGGUUGUAAAGCCCUUUUGUUGGGAAAGAAAAGCAGCAGGUUAAUACCCCGCUGUUCCGACGGUACCCAGAGAAUAAGCACCGGCUAACUUCGUG